GUGAGGAAUAUUGCGCAAUGGAGGCAACUCUGACGCAGCCAUGCCGCGUGCAGGAAGAAGGCGCUACGCGUUGUAAACUGCUUUUAACCGGGAAGAAACCCCAGGACGUGUCCUGGGUUGACGGUACCGGAGGAAUAAGCACCGGCUAACUUCGUGCCAGCAGCCGCGGUAAUACGAAGGGUGCAAGCGUUAUCCGGAUUCAUUGGGUUUAAAGGGUGCGUAGGCGGAGCGUUAAGUCAGUGGUGAAAUCCUGCAGCUUAACUGUAGACUUGCCAUUGAUACUGGCGCUCUUGAGUGCGCUUGAAGUGGGCGGAAUGUGUCGUGUAGCGGUGAAAUGCUUAGAUAUGGCACAGAACACCAAUUGCGAAGGCAGCUCACUAAGGCGAUACUGACGCUGAGGCACGAAAGCGUGGGGAUCGAACAGGAUUAGAAACCCGAGUAGUCC
rnacentral:rRNA from 1 species